GGCCACCUAAGAUGGAAGAAGCCAUGAGAUGAGUAAGCGUUGCCUACUCACAAGGUUGCAAACUGUCCUUCGCUUACGAUUAUCCCCCAACGCCCCCUCCUAAAUCUGAUCAAUCGCAUGGAACUUGAUGGUUACAAAAGACAGAGCUAACAACUAGCUACCUUGCAGGAACGGGAACGUCAUUCUGAGGGUAGUCCACAUGCAAGUGUUCUAAGGUUGACAUCACUGCUUCAUCAUUCACCUCAUUUUCCCAGAACAGAAGCACCAAGAAAAUUAUCACCAUUAUUAUCAUCAGAGAUUAAGAAGCAGCAAUGCCCCUCUUGUGGCAAGAGUUGGCAGCGUGCGGUUGGUAUGUCAACGCAUCCAAGGUCCAAGGGCCUGGAUUGUCUGCCAAAUGCUUGGGAGUUGUUUGAUCAGGUUGACAUGCUCCAACAGCAUUGUGGACUGGGCCCACACCUACGCU
rnacentral:antisense_RNA from 1 species